CUGGGCUCCAUUCCCCUGCACCUUUUAGGUUAAAAAAAAGACAAAUGUUGGAGUUCUAGAAUGCCAACACUUGUGUAGAGGACUACCAUGUCCAAAAAGAUGUGAAGAGAGCUGGGGAGGCUGAAGCAGUAGUGUCCCUUGGAUUUCAAUGAAGGAUAGCCCCAGCUACUCCGAGAUGAAGAGCAGGUGCCAGUAGCUCCACAAAAAGCUGUCCCACAUUCAGCAAUGAAUAUCUGAAUUUGGCAAGCAGCAAGUCCUGGAGUCCUGGCACCAGUCUUCUGCUUCAGCAAAGGAACAUCUAUGAGCUCCAGCUGUUUUAUUUUGAAAGAAAAUUAUGUUUUUAGGUUUCCUCAAGUUAGUAAUAAGGAGAUGAUUAUUUGUUAAAAAUGUAGGAUUAAUUAGUCUAAGAUUAGAGAAUUUAGUCUUGAACUUUAGCAGUAAAGAAGUUGCAUUACUGUUAACUCCUUCUCUUAUCAUCAGUUUUAUCAUAUUUGGAGAAUCUUUCUUCUGGUCAGAUAUUCUCUUCAAGACUUAGCUCUGAAUGAGACUGAAUGAAUGAAACUGAAUGAAUGAAACUGAAUGAAUGAAACUGAAUGAAACUUAUCAGUAGAGAAUGGAAGCCCAGUACCUCUAUUAUGAAAUUGUGCACAAUUUAAGAAAAUAUUGUAGCGAAUGGAAAUUCUUUAUGAUAAGAAUAAGCCUGUUUUCUGAUUUUCUUUUGAAUUUAAGGUCUUUGCCUUAAGGGGUGGAAGGCAUAGAGGACAACCUCCACCCCAAAUGACCUUGUUGUGGAGGGUUGCAGAGGAGUGCACAUGGGCUGCUCUAAGCUGUCAGCUGAAGCAGCUCUCAGGACUGCUUGGAGAUCAUGGCCUCACCUUGUCAUGAGCCAGGGAAGAUCCAGAUCUCUGUAAGAGUUUUGUAAAAGACAUGGAGAAGUGUUGGAGGCAAGGACACUUGCACCAGAUGACCUUUACAGGGCCCUGCCAGCCCAGCCCAGUCUAGGACUCCUCACCAUUUUCAUUUCAAGAGCACCAAGAGUGGAGGUGAGGAGGAAGGGGGCUCAUCUGAUGCCUUGGACUUCCAUGGAGGAGGAGCC